rnacentral:lncRNA from 1 species
GAAAUUUUAACAUUUCAGUUUCAACCCCGUUUGGUCACCGAAAACUGUACCGAACUGAAAUCUUUAUCAGAUAACAGUUCGAUUUUAUUCUCCACCUUCCGGGUGUCAGAAUGGGCUGAAACUUUAAAUCUAGCCUCAUAAAAAUAAUUCUGACUGAUCCGUCAACUUUUCAUAAUUUUCUGACACUGUGCAUUUUCUGCUAAUUUUUCUGUCCCGUUUCACACAGAAAAUUCUAAAUCUUCUGUUUGCAUUCCGAUUUCAGCACAAGUCAUUCUAUACUUAUAUUUUAUUUUUCGAAACCCAAUAAAAAUAGUAUCUCACACUAUUUUUAUUUACUUUUAUUUUUAUACCAAAAUUUGGUAUAUUACACCCUGAGACC